rnacentral:lncRNA from 1 species
CUUAACCCACUGAGCAAGGCCAGGGAUCGAACCUGCAACUUCAUGGAUUUGUUAACUGAUGAGCCAUGACGGGAACUCCUCUCUCCUUUCCUUUUUUUUUGCCCAUCUUCCUUCCCUGUCUCUCCCUCCCUCCUCCCCUUUUUGUCUUUUCUCUUUUCUUUCUUCCUUCCUUCCACAACCCUGUUCACUUUUCUUGUCACGCCUGGUUCUCCAGAGCUAUUGAAGAAGGCAAAGGAUCAAUGGGAAGGGUAGACAGCAAGCCCCCCCACCCCCAGCUGCCCUUCCUAAUGUGGGGACCCAUUCGUGUCCUCGGGACGUUCAGAAAAAGCAAAAAAAAAGGGCCUUUUCCGCAAACAACCAAAUGAGAAAUCAUUGAAGGUGGUCAGUGCGCCAGCCAGCAGCACUCAGUGCAUGGUGGCAAUGGCUUGAUUUGCAAGACGGUCAGGCCCUCUUUGAGGGCAUUUCUGCAAAUGUUGGCAGAUGAGAAAAAGCCACUGGCAUUGCCUUUUUCUAAAACCCUUUCUUCGGAGUUCCCAUCGUGGCGCAGUGGUUAACGAAUCCGACUAGGAACCAUGAGGUUGCGGGUUCGAACCCUGCCCUUGCUCAGUGGGUUAACGAUCCGGCGUUGCUGUGAGCUGUGGUGUAGGCUGGCAGCUGUAGCUCUGAUUCGACCCCUAGCCUGGGAACUUCCAUAUGCCGAAGGUGUGGCCCUAGAAAGAAGAAGAAGGAAAAAAAAUGUGGUACAUAUAUACAAUGUAAUACUACUCAGCCAUAAAAAGAAUGAAAUAAUGCCAUUUGUAGCAACAUGGAGGCAAUUGGAGAUUCUCAUACUAAGUAAAGUUAAGUCAGAAAGAGAAAGACACAUACCAUGCAAUAUCACUGAUACGUGGAAUCUAAAAUAGGGCAUAAAUGAACCUAUCUCUGAAACAGAAACAGACUCACAAACACAGAAAACAGACUUGUGGUUGCCGAGGGGAAGAGGAAAGGAAGUGGGAUCAACUGGGAGUUUGGGGUUAGUAGAUGAAAACUAGAGCAUUUAGAAUGGAUAAGCAAUGAGAUCCUGCAGUGUAGCACAGGGAACUAUAUCCAAUCCCUUGGGGGUAGAUCACGAUGGGAGAUAUUAUGAGAAAAAGAAUGUAUACAUAUGUAUGAUUGGGUCACUUUGCUGUACAGCAGAAAUUGGCACUGCGUUGUAAAUCAACUAAACUGCAAUAAAAAAAAUUGGUUUUUAAAUUUUAAAAAGUGGAGACUAGUUAUGGAUACUAGUUGGGCUCACUAACGUGGUAGUCAGGGUUGCCAAACUCAGGCAGCAUAGCCUCAGAGGCUGUCCUUGGGGAAUCUGUGCUGGACUUCCACUCACAGCUGGCUGGCUGGACUUGGAGUCUGGGUGCUCUGGAGACCCCCAUGCACCCAGCUCUAGCUUGUCAUUUGUUGACUACUCCUCGCCUGUCUCAUUCUGCGGGAAAUACUUUACAUUCAUUAUUUGGGGUUAAUUUUCUCAUUCCCAUUUUGGAGCUGAGGACAGGGAGCUUCAGAAAGUUUGAAUCACGCAGCUGGUGAGUAGUAGAGUCAGGCUUCAGACAGAGGCACCUGCACUCCGGUGACUUCAGGACACUGACUGUCCUACCCGGGCCUCCGACGUAGGGAACAGGCAAGAGAAGAAGGCAAUCAAGAAAGAAAGCUACAUGCCCUGAUGUGCCCCAGAGACAGGAGAGGGGUUCAAGGGUCAGGCAAGAAAAAGGGUCAUUAAAGACAUCAAAGCCCCCCUCCCCCGCCCUGCUUCCUAUGAGGAACGUGGCACAGUCAGGUGAGGUGGUUGCUGUUUUUUUUAAUAACCUGUGAUAAUAUCCAGAGUGUUUUACAAUCUAUUUCCCUUUCACCUGGUGCAGUGGCAAGGCUCCCAGAAUAAAGCCAACGGCGGCCAGGCUGUCAGAAGCCACGCCUUCAACACUUUGGAAGACUUAUCUCAGUCCUUGAGACUAACAACAGGGCAGCCCCGGGUCCCACAGGUGGACUUUGGGGGCUGCAUGCAUUUUGCUCCAGGGUGCAGUGUCAUUUUGGAGAUGCUGGACCAGGUCCAGAUGCUGGGUCCUCUGACGGGCACUGGCUCAGGGGGUUCUUCCUCUCUUCUCUUUCCUUCACUAGUUCCUUUCCCCCUUGUCUUCUUCUUUUGUCUCUGCCCUAUCCUUUCCAGAAAAGGAAGCCCAGGUGGUCGAACAAGCACUGCCCAGGAAAUCAGCAGACCCCGCUGUAACUAGAACAAAGGAUGUAGAUCCGAUCUCUGAGUCCCAACCCAGGGCGUCCACUGCAGACCCGCCAAGCAGCCUUCUCCUGGGCUUCAGAUUUCAGUCCCCAACCUGAAACACGGGGCAGAUGCACCGGAUUAUGGUUUGCAGCCCUUUUGAAAAGGCAGGUGAAUUUCUCUUAUGCUGUUUAGGAUUAUUUUUGAACCUGUAUUUUUUUAAGAGUCUUUGAAGUACGCUUAUUUUUUUUUUCCUUUUAUAGCCACACCUGUGGCAUAUGGAAGUUCCCAGGCAAGGGGUCAAAUUGAAGCUGCAGCUGCCAGCCUGCACCACAGCCACAGCAAAGCCAGAUCUGAGCCACAUCUGUGACCUACGCUGAAGCUUGCAGCAGUGCUAGAUCCUUAACCCACUGAGCAAGGCCAGGGAUUGACCCCGCUUUCUCACAGAGACUAUGUCAGGCCCUUAACCCUCUGAGCCAUAAUGGGAACUGUCAAAUGCUUAAUUUUUAUUUAAAAAUAUUUUUUAUCUUAAAUGGAAACUCCUCAAUGCUUAAUUUUUACUAAAAUUUUUUAAUCUUUUUUUUUUUUAAGGGCUGCACUGGAGGCAUAUGGAAGUUCCCAGACUAGGGGUUGAAUCAGAGCUGCACCUGCUGGCCUUCACCGGACCCAAGCUGCAUCUGUGACCUACACCACAGUUCACAGCAACACUGGAUCCUUAACCCACUGAGCGGGGCCAGGGAUCCAGUCCUCGUGAACACUAUUUGUAUUCUUUGCCACUGAGCCACAACGGGAAUGCCCCUUUCUUAAAAAUGUUUAUCUUUAUUCAAUUUAUUUUUAAAUGAUGGAAUUUAUAUUUUAAAAAAUUUAAGAUCAUUGACAUUCCUUGAAAAAUCAGAUCUAGCCACCCAGGACCGCCACUCCUUCCUGGAAACUAUUGUUGGCACUGAAUUCCCCUGUCCCUUCUAGGUGAGGCGCCUACUCCCCACCCAGACCUCACGCUCACUUUGUCUUAUACCACCCUGCUUCAGGGCUUGUGAGAGGCUGGGUAAAGAUAGAACCCCAAAGGGACCUCAGGUGCUCCUGAAAAUGCAUACGGAUGGGCGUUUGUAUCUCUGUGCUUUUACUGUGUAAGAAAAGAUUGAACACAAAGCAAAACACUGGCAAUAAUCUGGCACGGACCUCGGACGAUGAUGGAAAUAAUGCGUCCUAUGGGCACAACUUUCAAGCUGCCCUCACCUGUGGGAGCUGCUGAGUCCUCCAACCUGGAGAGGCACAGCUGCCAGGUUCGGCUUUGUUCAUUGUGAGAUGAGGGACCUGAAGCCCAGAGAGGUGAAGCAACUUGCCCAGAGUCACAAAGCCACUGAUUGUCAAUGUCCGGGUUCUGACUGGGGUGUGCUCACUCCUGGCCCAGGGCUCCUUCCCCACCAGGAAGUCUCUCCAUCUCAAUUUGAACACCCCCCCCACCCCCCGCACCUUAUCCACUGGGCUCCUCUAAUGACUUGGCAGGUGUGCAGGGCAGCUGUUACUAAGCACAACUCAACAGAUGAGGAAAGGGAGGCAGUGAGGUCAAUUGGCAUGAAAGCAAAGUAAGCAGUUUUCUCGGUGGCGUUAUGUGAAGGAUAAUGGGAGGGAUUUGUGUGUCUGGAUGGGGGAAGCCCUGGUACACUGCCCUUCCUUUUUUUUUUUUUUUUUUUUUUUUUUUUAGUUUAGCAUUUUUUUUUAAAGUUUUUAUUGUUGUUGUUGUUGUUACGUACAGUUAACUUACAAGGUUGUGAUAAUUGCGGCUGUACAACCAAGUGACCCAGUCACACACAGACACACAUCCAUUCUUGCUCAGAUUCUUCGCCCACAUAGAUGAUCACAGAAAAUUGGGUAGAGUUCUCUGUGCGGCACAGCAGGUCCCCGUUGGCUAAUCAUUCCAUAGACCUCAGCGUGCACAGGCCAAUCCCAAACCCCCGGUCCAUCCCUCCCCUGCAUCUGUCCCCUUGGGUAACUAUAAGUUUUUCAAAGUUUAUGAGUCUGUUUCUGUUCUGCAAAUAAGUUCAUUUGUAGAGGCAGGGGGAGGAGAGAUUAAAAAGUAUCAAAUGCCGAUCUUGCUCACUUUGCAAAUUUGGAAAUAUCACUUUUUAAUUCUUUCUAUUUUCUCCCCUUCUUUCCUUCCUUUUUCCUAUGCAAGUAAGGAAUUUUCUAACAGUAUUUUAGAUUUUCAAAAUGCUCUGUGGCCUUCUCAGUUAUUCUGGUCAAAAUCCAUAAGAGGCAGAGUGGGAUGAUAAGAUCUACUUCUCGAGUGGAGAAUGAAUCAGUGACGGGACCUACCAGUCCAGGUUCACCGGAUGGCUUAGAAACAAGGCUGACCACAAACCCUGGAUCACUUGGGACUUCAGAGUGAGCCCAGCUAAGCCUCUGCUUUGGGUUCAGAAGCAUGUGCAAUGUGCCAGGCGUGUGCUGGGUACUUCAUAGAUGAGAUACCAUAAAUCCACAAAAUGCCCCUGGGAGGGCAUAUGGCCAUCUCCAUUUCGCCACUAAGGAAGCCCAGGAGGGCCAAAAAUGCCCAGAAUGUGGCCCAAGGUCAUCCCACAGGCCUGGGUCUGACUCCAAAGCCCACAUUCCCUCCACCACACAUUCUGCAAUAGAAAAAAAAAAA